CAACCUUAAUUUGCUCACUACAUCAUUUUAUCGACUCCGUUUUUUUCAGAUACUUUCUCUGGUCCCGAUUGCCUUUUUUGUUAAUAUUGGUCUUGGGAAGAAAACAGAUGGGGGGGGGUGUCUCAUUUUGCCAAGGAAAAGGUAUGGUCUGUCUUCCAAAUUGAGUAGUUUGUACUGGAGUUGGAAAUACAAGUAGUCCUCGAUAACCUGAAAGUGGUGUGAUUUAAGAGCCUGUGAUUUGCUGACAGCAAGACUGGCCCUAGAACUCCACCUCCCAGAAGGUCUGGAUUUAGACCAGAGACUGCCACAGGCAAAGGGGUGGGACUCUGAUCGCUACGCGGAUGUGGCUCCAAGCUUUCAGAGCCUGUUAGCCCAUCCCCCGAGAUGCGGCGCUGGAGGAUGAUCAAACUUUGCCAGGACUGCAAGGGAAGAAUGCCGACAAUCAAAUAUGUGAUUGGUUGUAGAAGAUGGGGCUGUAGGCACCAAAAGGAACCUGCAGAACUACCCUGA
rnacentral:lncRNA from 1 species